CGUUUAGGGGUAAACCUGAGAAACCCGAAAGGUCGAAGGGAGAAAUUCAUUCGCGUUUCGUAACUGGCGACGGUGGGGAUCGAGUGACGGGAAACGUGUGUGUUCGCGCGCACAUGUUUUCCGCGCCUCUCCGUCGUCGAACCGGAGACGAACGUGUGCACUUUUCUCCUGGUAGGACGUCGCGAUCCGUUGGGUGUCGGUCUACGGCCCGUGGUGGAGCCCAUUCGACCGGCUUGUUCGGUUCGGAUGGACCCUCGGUGUCUCCUGGCCGACCCGCUCGACGGUACACGAACGGUUCGAGGUCGCUCGUUUUUCGGAACGAGCGUCCGACCGGCGACAAGUGCGCCGGAUGCUCGUCGACGAUCGGACCUGGUGCCGAUCGCGACCUCCGGUGGCUGCUGGUCGCCGUGUUCCCGGACAGAUCGAAACCGAUCUGCGACGCUAUAGCUUUGGGUACUUUCAGGACCCGUCUUGAAACACGGACCAAGGAGUCUAGCAUGUGCGCGAGUCAUUGGGAAUCAUUAAACCUAAAGGCGCAAUGAAAGUGAAGGUUCUCUUCGCGAGGACCGAGGGAAGACGGGCGGUUAGACUUAAAAAGGAACCGCUCCGCACUCCCGGGGCGUCUCGUUCUCAUCGCGAGAAGAGGCGCACCAAGAGCGUACACGCUGGGACCCGAAAGAUGGUGAACUAUGCCUGGUCAGGACGAAGUCAGGGGAAACCCUGAUGGAGGUCCGUAGCGAUUCUGACGUGCAAAUCGAUCGUCGGAACUGGGUAUAGGGGCGAAAGACUAAUCGAACCAUC
rnacentral:rRNA from 1 species